rnacentral:rRNA from 1 species
AUUGAACGCUGGCGGCAGGCCUAACACAUGCAAGUCGAGCGAGCGGCGGACGGGUGAGUAAUGUCUGGGAAACUGCCUGAUGGAGGGGGAUAACUACUGGAAACGGUAGCUAAUACCGCAUACCAUCAGAUGUGCCCAGAUGGGAUUAGCUAGUUGGUGGGGUAAAGGCCUACCAAGGCGACGAUCCGUAACUGGUCUGAGAGGAUGAUCAGUCACACUGGAACUGAGAAACGGUCCAGACUCCUACGGGAGGCAGCAGUGGGGAAUAUUGGACAAUGGGCGAAAGCCUGAUCCAGCCAUGCCGCGUGUGUGAAGAAGGUCUUCGGAUUGUAAAGCACUUUAAGUUGGGAGGCGUUACCCGCAGAAGAAGCACCGGCUAACUCCGUGCCAGCAGCCGCGGUAAUUC